GGAGAAGUGGCCGAGUGGUUGAAGGCGCACGCCUGGAAAGUGUGUAUAGGUUAAUAGCCUAUCGAGGGUUCGAAUCCCUCCUUCUCCG
rnacentral:tRNA from 2 species